AAUGACUUCAAUAUGCAAAAGACAUUCCAAGGAGUCCGGGAGGGAAUGCUCAUUCUAGAGCCAGGAGGGAGUCAUGGGAAUUAGUUCUUGAUUUAUAGACCGGCUGAAAGAAAUCACCUAGGUUAAACCUGCCUAAAUUCUGCUAUCUGUGUAUGUGCUUAAGGGGAUGGGCUCAAUGAACUUUGAGACUGUCUCUUCUCUACUGAUGGGAGUGACAGUGAAGUUCCUGAUGAAGGAAGGUUUAGGGUGGAGGAAUUCUGAGCCCCUGGGUUCUGGAUUCAAAAUCAUACACAGCCCUCUAGAUAACAUAGAUGUACAGUCGUACAGUCUUUGUGGAGAAUUUGAAAAACGAGAAUGGUGAUUAUCUACUUAGGACAGGUUUGGGUACAGCCACUCAUGGAAGCCAGGAACCAGCUUCUAACCAUGGAAGCUUUGUGUUUUCUGUAUAAGCUGUCCUUGACUACGGACAAAGAAUGGGUACCGAGUGUUCAGUUGGCAUCAUAAUAGGAAACAGAAUUCUACACAGAUGGUUCAACGGAACAGAGUUUCUUGAGGGGCAUAUUUAUGGAGGGGUAAGGAGACCAGCAAGGGAUAUUGAGGCACCCAGGGCUAAACUUAGAGGGAAGCUGUCAUCACCCUAGGGCCUGAGGAGGAAGGGGAGAAAAUACUGUUUGGGGGGCCUGGUGGGAGCUGUAGCUGGGAGGAGGACCAUGAGGGAGAAACCAUAGUCAUGGAAGGAUGUUGUCACUGCCAGGACCAAGACACCAAGACUGUGUGCUAGGCACUGAGUUAGAGUUGAAGACCCUCAAGAAUUCCACUGACAACUGAAUCAUCAAAGGGAACCGAGCCCUGCCCAAGGACAUACAGUUGUUUUCCUCUUCCUUGUCCUUUGGAGAAGCACAGCUGAAGCUUCCUGCCCACACCCCAGCCCCUCCUCCUUGAGCAUGAAUGUGCAGACCACCCACCGCCCCAUGCUUGUAUCUACAACAGCUAUGAGGAAGAACAUACAGAUUAAUCACCCUGCUGCGGGAUGCCAGCUACCCAGUGGCUCUGGCAGCCCCAGUCAAUGGAUCCUGCAGUGUAGCCUUCAUCAGUAGAGCUGCCACUGCCAGCACCCAAAAGAUGCUGAAGGAGAGAAGUUAAAGAACCUGUCCAAAAUCGCACAGCUAGUUAGUAAUAAAGCUUGGGUGGAAUUCUGCUUUUCUGACUCCCAGAUUAGUAUUUCUUUGACUUUAC
rnacentral:lncRNA from 1 species